CUCACUUUGGUAAAUUUCCGAGGUGACGUUAACGCUUUGGAUUUUUAAGGUAGUUGGGGCAUGACUUGAGGCAACCUUCUCACCUCCUCUUUCAGCAUUUCCAAAACAACACGUAGUUGGAAUAUUCGCCGUUUAUAGCUUAUCGAUCUUAUUGAUCACUUAUUUUGGAUGUAUUUUAUCACGGCACAUGCUGUUGGUGUACUUUAUGUCGACGUUUUCUUGGCCACGAUUGCGUGCCACGAAUACUCCACUUUUGUCAAACUCACAAUCAAGCAAGUCGUACAGUUUACCGGUCGAUUCGCCUUUAAUCACUAUCCAUAUUUACUAUCCUGGCACCGUACCUUCUCCACCUGAUGCAUUUAAGGACAGUGCCUGGAGAGGGGAAAAAAAAGUCAACCUACUGGAUUUAAAAUUUAAACAAAGCUGGCAGUUAACUACCACUUAGAUUCAAGAUGUGUCACGUUAUUUCCACCUUCUCUACCAAGAAGGCAAGUGCAAUGUUCAAAAGCCUUGGAGCCUUUUCUCCUCUUUGCUAUGUCCACAGUCUUUCUCAGGUUACUGAUCCUUUCAAACUGGAUGCCCUCGAGGGCCCACUCCCACCUCAGCUGGAGAAUGAACAUAUCUCCAGGACAAUUAGGGCCUGCGAAAAUCUUAAAGAGUGAAUGUUUCCCUUGAGAGCAUGUUUGGGAUCUGGGAGCAGUUUCUGUUCUCGUCAGGGAAAAUCUCAGCCAAUGUCUUAAAAUUCCAGAAUAAGGUACCAAAAAUUGCACACAAUAACAUAACUAGUCAACUUAACAUGUUGUCUUGUACAAAUAAAUUCAAAUUGUUUUGUUUUUGCACUCUGCCCAUUUAUAAAUUGAGUUACACUAAUUCAUAAGCAAUAGAAUGUAACUGGGCAUAUAGUAGUUCAUAACUGAAUAAGUCUAUUUAUAAAAAUUAAUACCAGUCAUUUGCACAUGGAAAAUAUGUUUUGCAGAAGUCUGAACUGAUUUACAUUUUAUGUUAUUAUAUUGUUAUGUCAUGUUAUCCCUUUCACUGAGCGAUCUUUUCACAAAACUCCUCCUCAAAGAGGCACUAUUACCCUCUUUCAUGGGAACACUCUUCUUCUACUAUUUUAUAGAAGCAGGCUUACUCUUUCUGUUCAGUUAAUCUUGUCCCCAUCCCUCAGUGACCACUCUCUAGUCCUGAUACUUCACAUUGCUGCCCCAACUCUUGAUUUUACCUGCAUGUAAUUUUGUUCUGGGAAUGAACACUCCACCAGCAGCAUACACUGCAAGAACUGACUUGUCACAACAAAUAGAAAAACUGCUUAUGUAAGUGAUAGUGUUCCUGAGACUCAAAAACUGACACCAGCUUUGUAUACAUCACUGUAGGAACCUUAACUUAGCUUCACAUUAGCAUAAAACCCCAAAUAGCAUCACAAGUAUACCAACAAAACUCCAAACAGAGAUGGCACUGACAAUGAUUGUUUAUAGUGGUGUACUUUAGGUAUGUCUGCCUACGCUGGUUAAAAGGCACUGAUGAGGAAAUGUAAUUGAAACUAUGUCAUACAAACUGUGAAGCAAGUACUAUUGUAAAUUGUGUGUAAAUAUUACUUAUAGAUAUAACUCUCUCCAUGACUGUACAUAUAAGAUAGUUAAUGUGGAUGGCUUUUUAAAAUGGUCUUUUGUUCUCAAUCUAGUUUUAUCUUGGAAGGGUAUUUCUUUGACCAGUAAGGAACAAUAAUUGCUUGAAUACUAGCAACACUGAAAACAAGAUUUGUUAAUACUUUGAUCAGAUUACUUCAAAUAAACAUGACCUGAAAUAAAA